rnacentral:rRNA from 1 species
UACAGAGGGUGCGAGCGUUGUCCGGAAUCACUGGGCGUAAAGGGCGCGUAGGUGGCGGCCCAAGUCCAUGGUGAAAGCUCGAUGCUCAACAUCGAGUCGGCCACGGAUACUGGGUUGCUCGAGCACUGUAGGGGCAGAUGGAAUUCCGGGUGUAGCGGUGGAAUGCGUAGAGAUGUGGAGGAAUACCGAUGGCGAAGGCAGCCCCCUGGGACGUCACUGACGCUCAUGCACGAAAGCGUGGGGAGCAAACAGG